GAUCCUGGCUCAGAACGAACGCUGGCGGCAGGCUUAAUACAUGCAAGUCGAACGGCUGUAGCAAUACAGCAGUGGCAGACGGGUGAGUAACACGUGGGAACCUACCUAGGGGUACGGAAUAACUCAGGGAAACUUGUGCUAAUACCGUAUACGACCUCAGGGUGAAAGAUUUAUCGCCCCUAGAUGGGCCCGCGCUGGAUUAGCUAGUUGGUGGGGUAAAAGCCUACCAAGGCGACGAUCCAUAGCUGGUCUGAGAGGAUGAUCAGCCACACUGGGACUGUGACACGGCCCAGACUCCUACGGGAGGCAGCAGUAGGGAAUCUUGGACAAUGGGGGAAACCCUGAUCCAGCCAUCCCGCGUGUGCGAUGAAGGCCUUCGGGUUGUAAAGCACUUUUGGCAGGAAAGAAACGUCAUGGGUUAAUACCCCGUGAAACUGACGGUACCUGCAGAAUAAGCACCGGCUAACUUCGUGCCAGCAGCCGCGGUAAUACGAAGGGUGCAAGCGUUAAUCGGAAUUACUGGGCGUAAAGCGCGCGUAGGUGGUUUGGUAAGAUGGAUGGUG
rnacentral:rRNA from 1 species